rnacentral:tRNA from 1 species
AAGAAGAAUAAAUCGGGGCUGCUAACCUUGAUUAGGGGGUAUUCAACCUCCACUUCUAU